CUGAGGAGUCAACAUUCACAUUUUAUUAUGUUUAGCUGUGUGACUCCUCGCUUCUGUUUUCAGAAUCUGCUCCCUUUCCUGCUUUUGAGCUCUGACAAUACACCCCGAGUUUUGAAGUGUAAUUUACGUAUCAUUUCCAAGCUCCUGAAAGGGGACUGGGGAGCGGAAGGAUCUCUGCCGUUGGCCCUGUCUGCCACCUUCAGCUUGCACAGGGCAGGUGUCAGCUCCUCGAGGGGGUGUUUGUGGCUUGUGAUUCUUCAUCUGCCCCUCACACAGAACAGGCACCUCACUUCUACUCUAGAGCUCAUGCAAAUGAGAGCACACAGCACGGGGGGAGGGGUUAGGGGAUGGUGUAUAGUGUAGAGCUACCCCUGAACAGGGAGCAGGUGAGGGCUCCAGCCGCUUUGUCUACCAGGACAAGUGGGCCAACUGCACAACACCCUGAGCAGAAGCACACCAGAGCCCCACCCACCCUCGGCCCACUUGUCCUGGACGGUGCCCACGUAGGGUGUGGAAACCUGGAGAACCCAGCGCACAGCUGUGGCUCCCCACACGGGCUCUUCUCACUCCCAGAUCCCUAACCAUUGGCGCUGAGGGCUCCCUGAAGAGAAUGGCUGCUGCAGAUGUGUGAUGUGCUGACAGACAUUCCCCUGAUGCUCUCAAGUGGUUGAGUGGGCACCAGCAUCCCUUUCCUGGCAGCAGCAAAGCUGAGUAGCCAGUGGUGCAGGUGACACUAGGCAAGAACAUGGGGAAGACGUGGCUCAGAGGCAUGUGCCUGUGAUGUGGUCCUCGACGGUCAGGCAGCAGAUCCAAGAGAGACAGAAAUAAGCUGUCUUGAGGCUCGUAGACCCCGUGUUCCCCUGCGUGUCUCGGGCUCUGUACACAGUUGGGGGUUUGCAGAGGAUCUUCCUGUUUGGGUUCCCCCCAGGGCGUUGUUCAGAUUGGCAGCCUGGGGCAGAUGCCAGAGACUGAAGCAUGGGUCCUGGCUCAGUGAUGUGUCCUCUGGGCCAGGUGAAUGAGGCGGAGGAAGAGCGGCUUCGAGGUGAGCGGGAGCACCAGCGAGUGACUCGGCUGUGCCAACAGGCUGAGGCUCGGGUCCAAGCCCUGCAGAAGACCCUCCGGAGGGCCAUCGGCAAGAGCCGCCCCUACUUUGAGCUCAAGGCCCAGUUCAGCCAGAUCCUGGAGGAGCACAAGGCCAAGGUGACAGAACUGGAGCAGCAGGUAGCUCAGGCCAAGACGCGCUACUCCGUGGCCCUUCGUAACCUGGAGCAGAUCAGCGAGCAGAUUCACGCACGGCGCCGCGGGGGUCUGCCUCCCCACCCCCUGGGCCCUCGGCGCUCCUCCCCCGUGGGGGCCGAAGCAGGACCUGAGGACAUAGAGGACGGAGACAGCGGGAUUGAGGGGGCCGAGGGUGCGGGGCUGGAGGAGGGCAGCAGCCUGGGGCCCGGCCCCGCCCCCGACACCGACACCCUGAGUCUGCUGAGCCUGCGCACGGUGGCUUCAGACCUGCAGAAGUGCGACUCCGUGGAGCACUUGCGAGGCCUCUCGGACCACGUCAGUCUGGACGGCCAAGAGCUGGGAACCCGGAGUGGAGGGCGCCGGGGCAGCGACGGCGGAGUCCGUGGGGGUCGGCACCAGCGCAGCGUCAGCCUGUAGCCGAGGGGCCAGGGUUCCUGGCUUGAAUCUGCUACCACGGGCCGGUUGGGGCCCACAGUCUUCUCACGCCCUCUCCUCUGGGGCCUCGUCUUCCCGAAGGUCCCCUUCUCCAGUGCUUCCCUGGGAGAGGCCAGCUGUGUUCGAGUCCUCUGUGCCUGCCCUGGCGUUCUCACAGCCUCCCCCUUCCCCUCAGCAGGCAGCUCUCUUUGCCUUACCCAUUCAGAAGGCUUGCCCUCGGCGCUCUGUCUGCCUCUGCCUGCCAGCUCAUCACGAUCUGCAGGGCAUUGACCCUUUGCUUUCCCUUUCUGCUCCCUCUCUUUCCAUCUGUUUGGCUUUUUCCCUCAGGGAACUUGGUCUAGAAGGCACUGGGAAGCUCAUCAGAGAAAGUGGGUGCUGGGCCUGAGUACUCCCGUCGGAGGGGAUGGACAGUCACCCCUCCCGUUGGUUUCCAGCCCCGCCCCCCUUCCCAAGGCAACUCUGGAGGGUACCCUAGGUAUGCUGCUGAGCCCUGCCCCCCGUCCUGCUCCAGCCUGCCCGUGUGUAACCUGUAAGAUGUACUGUGUGCCUCCGGAAGACACCACCUUUCUCUUCAGCAUUCCCUUUCAUGACCUGAGGCACUCUGCGAUGUGUGCCCCAAAGCAGAACUUACACGACCUGUAGGAAGCUGGUGUCAGGGAGAGAAACCCAACCCCAUUGUCAACAUAGGGAGCAUCACCAACUCCAGACUGGCUCCUGUGGGGAUGGUGUUUCCGCUGGGCUGGGUCCUCACCAUUGCCAAGGUGCUAGUGGGUCCCUAACAGGGCCCAUGUUGGGGGUGAAGUCAUGAGGUCCUGAAGGCUUAGGCCCCUGUCAUUCCCACCCUCACUCUUGCUGCACAGUUGUGUUUACUUUUUCUGGGUAGAGGAUGCUGAACUGACUCAGCACCCUCCUGCAGGGCGGGGUUAGGGAAUUUGGUGCUCAAUUGCUCUCCCUUGCUCUUCCCCAAACUGAAAAUACCUACUGUAGGAUCCCUCGGGGCACACUGAAGCUUGGCUGCCAACCCUCUUACUUCCUUUGUUACAGGGAGGGGUUGGCUUGGGGUGAAAAGUUCUGCCCUCCGCAGGGAGCAGCUCCAGCUGCCUGGCAGUGCUCCCAGUGUGUAGGGAAGCCACACCAGACCUGGGUGCCUUGGGAGAACCGGUCCUUCCUUUUGACCCACCCCAGGAUGAUGGAGUGCUCUUUUCCAGGCCCAUGUUCUGCCAGCACCCGGGAUGAGUGGGCAACUGGACUCUGCACGGGGGUCUACAGGUUGAGGGAGGUUGGUCACAAUGAGAACCUCGGGGUUUGAGGUGGCCACGGGCAGACAGCCGAAAGGGAGGGAGGGUGUGGGUGUGCGUGUGUGCAUGUGCUGGUGUGUAAGGGGGAAAGGGUCUUUCCUGGUUUUAUUUAAAUAAAGUAGUUUAUGUAACAGUUAA
rnacentral:sRNA from 1 species